GGCCAGACUCCUACGGGAGGCAGCAGUGGGGAAUAUUGCACAAUGGGGGAAACCCUGAUGCAGCAACGCCGCGUGGGUGAAGGAGCGUUUCGGCGCGUAAAGCCCUGUCAGCGGGGAAGAAGAAAGACGGUACCCGACCAAGAAGCCCCGGCUAACUACGUGCCAGCAGCCGCGGUAAUACGUAGGGGGCAAGCGUUAUCCGGAUUUACUGGGUGUAAAGGGAGCGUAGACGGAGAAGCAAGUCUGAAGUGAAAGCCCGUGGCUUAACCACGGGACUGCUUUGGAAACUGUUUGACUAGAGUGCUGGAGAGGUAAGUGGAAUUCCUAGUGUAGCGGUGAAAUGCGUAGAUAUUAGGAGGAACACCAGUGGCGAAGGCGGCCUACUGGACGGUGACUGACGCUGAGGCUCGAAAGCGUGGGGAGCAAACAGGAUUAGAUACCCCUGUA
rnacentral:rRNA from 1 species